GCUCAAGAGGGUACCUGUACUUAUUAGCCAAAAAUAUACACACUAAUUGCAUGGGUGUUUACAGAACACUAUGCCAAUGGGGCUGUUUUUCACCCUGGAUGUGUGAUCUGAGCACUAAGUGUCUCAACUAACUGGGUUGGGCCACUUUGACUUGUUAAAAAGAGUCCACAGAGCGGCUAAACUGAACUGGACUUGUUCCCAGACCCUCAGCACCCCUCCGUAUGUAACGUUUUAAUAACGUCACUUCUGCCCGUGCCUGUUACAGCAGAGAGACCUCCACGACGCUCUACCACCCUCAGAAGAAAGUUCUUCACGCUGGGGCGAAACUUCUUAUGGUUGAGUUUAUGGGCGCUGCUCCCCGGCGGUGCUGAGAGGAGUUCUUACAGGGGACACUCAAACAAAGUGGGUAAUGUCAGUAAGCAAAGAAAACACCCCGUGUAAAAGUACUAAGAUUUCAGAUGAAAGCAAGGAAGAGAGUAUUUGUACAAUGUGCAAAAAUGAAGAAAUUCUUUUAGAAAAGAUCAGACUUAAGAUUGGUGAGCGGAUGGAUUUAAAUGCUGACUUGUUUAAUGAAAAAUUAGAAAGUUUAAAGAGAAGAGUCGAACAACUGGAAUGCACAAAUACCUAUGAAGAAAUAAGUAAAAUAUUCCUGCAGAAGAAAGUAGCAAAACUGGAGAGAUGUAUUGAUGCUGUGGUAGCAGCUCAGGGGGAAGUGUUCCCAGAACCAACUGUUGCUCAGAAUGAAAGGAAGGAAAGAGAACCCCAACAGAUCCAUAUAGAAGAAGAAAACCACAAUGAUAGUGAAGACUUUGAAGCAAUUUCCACAUCUUCCUCCAAGGAUCCACAUCUUGCCUUUCAUCCAGAGCUUGCUGAAAAAUUUGAAUCCUUAAACUAAAAGAGGCUCUUGUGUAAAAUCCAAAGGGAAUUGCACUGCCAUGGGCCCUCAGAGGAACUGAUCCAAUGUGUGCUUCCCUACACAGUUACCACCUGGAUCUGUUCCAUUAAAACCUCAGUAAUAAUUCUGCAUCACAUUGGAAUAAAACAGACCAAAUAAGGGCUUUGCCA
rnacentral:lncRNA from 1 species